AGGUUAUCAAGAAAGGUGGAGGGAAUAGACCCGUUGAAACCUUAGCAACCCUUGCUUUAACUAGUAUAAGCAAUGAAGGUGCUACAUUCUACUUCAUAUUUAGAUAGAUU
rnacentral:ncRNA from 2 species